CCUACGGGGGGCUGCAGUGGGGAAUAUUGGACAAUGGGGGCAACCCUGAUCCAGCCAUGCCGCGUGUGUGAAGAAGGCCCUCGGGUUGUAAAGCACUUUCAGUGAGGAAGAACGCCUGGUGGUUAAUACCCAUCAGGAAAGACAUCACUCACAGAAGAAGCACCGGCUAACUCCGUGCCAGCAGCCGCGGUAAUACGGAGGGUGCGAGCGUUAAUCGGAAUUACUGGGCGUAAAGCGCGCGUAGGUGGCUUGAUAAGCCGGUUGUGAAAGCCCCGGGCUCAACCUGGGAACGGCAUCCGGAACUGUCAAGCUAGAGUGCAGGAGAGGAAGGUAGAAUUCCCGGUGUAGCGGUGAAAUGCGUAGAGAUCGGGAGGAAUACCAGUGGCGAAGGCGGCCUUCUGGACUGACACUGACACUGAGGUGCGAAAGCGUGGGUAGCAAACAGGAUUAGAUACCCCUGUAGGC
rnacentral:rRNA from 1 species